rnacentral:sRNA from 1 species
GAUGAGAAGCUUCGACUAAGGUUCGACUCGAGCGCCAGCGAGAGAGCGUUGCCGCAGGCAACGACCUGAAGGGCGAAGCGCGCAGCGCUGAGUAAUCCUUCCCCCACCACCA